AUGCUUGCUCAGCCUUAACUUUUAUGGGCUGCAGUUUUGGAAAAUACAAAUUAAAGAAAGAUACAUCAGGCUCUGUGGCCCAACACAGAAGAUAGCACUGGAGGAAGUCUGGAGGGGCUGCUGGAUACACAGUAGCCAGACCCCAGGCUGGGCCAGGGCAGUGGCAGUUGCUCAUGGCUGGGACAAGGACACUUCAACACUUCUCAAGGAGCCCCAGAGGGAGAGCUAUCCUCCUGUUUUGCCUGAAGAAACAGAGGCCCAGAAAGGCCCAGGAUUCCAGCAGCCAAAAUGAUUGCACUAAGUUGGAAACCAGGGGCCAGCGCUGGGAGCGCGAUGAAGUCAACUUUCAUGGCAAGAUGAUGGAGCACUUGGGAAAUGCUGGCAAGGACAAGCAUAUCUCCUGCAAUUUUUCUGCACCUUUCAUUUUGGCGGUCUAAAGAGAGGAGAGGCUAGCCUACAGAAGGUGAAAGGCCUCCAGGAGGAAGCUCACCCUGGCUGGGAGCCAGGCUGGCAGGGAGCAAGCAGGUGUGAAAGGUGCCAACCCAGGAUCCCCUGGGACUCCGGGACAGUUCACUCCACAGACAAAUCAAGCUCAACAUGCCUGAAGCUGACUCCUUAUCUCAGCAGCCCCUCUGCCCAGCCUUGCUUCUCCUCCCAGGUUCCUCAUCCUGGUGGAUGUCAGCACCAUCUACCCACAGCUUGCCAGGCAGUGCAGGAUCUGGCUCCACCUUCAGCUCUCACUCUGUUCCACUUUGCCCUGUGUGCCCCACCUGCACCGGAACACCUACAGUGCCCGUAAUACACCAAGUCAUUUCAUUGCCCUGCCUCUUCUCAUGCUAUCCUUUCUCUACCUUGUCAAGCUGUUUAUCUUACGUCAAGAGUCAGCCCAAGGAGCAGCUGCCUCUACAAAGCUUUUCCUGCUCAUCCCCACCGCCACUCCCCCAUAUCCCCACCAUCUGUCCCCUGGUAGAGAUCAGUACGUCUUUUGUCUCUGUAACCCCAAUAUCUAGUGCUGCUCCUGGCACAUCUUCAACAUUUGACGCAUAUUUUGUGAAUUUAAAAAGAUGAAUGAGGGGCGCCUGUAUGGCUCAGUUAGCUAAGCAUCUGCCUUUGGCUCAGGUCAUGAUCCCAGAAUCCGAGGA